CCAAUAGCGUAUAUUAAAGUUGUUGCAGUUAAAAAGCUCGUAGUUGAAUUUCGGGAUCAAAUUGUCGGUCGUGCCUUGGUACGUACUGGUAUUAUUGGUUCCUACCUUCUGAAGAACCGCGAUGUCAUUAAUUUGGUGUCGUGGGGAAUCAGGACUGUUACUUUGAAAAAAUUAGAGGGUUUAAAGCAGGCUUACGCUUGAAUACAUUAGCAUGGAAUAAUGAAAUAGGACGUUUGAUUCUAUUUUGUUGGUUUCUAGGAUUGACGUAAUGAUUAAUAGGGAUAGUUGGGGGCAUUAGUAUUCAAUUGUCAGAGGUGAAAUUCUUGGAUUUAUUGAAGACUAACUACUGCGAAAGCAUUUGCCAAGGAUGUUUUCAUUAAUCAAGAACGAAAGUUAGGGGAUCGAAGACGAUCAGAUACCGUCGUAGUCUUAACCAUAAACUAUGCCGACUAGGGAUCGGAUGAUGUUAAUUUUUUAAUGACUCAUUCGGCGCCUUACG
rnacentral:rRNA from 1 species